GGGAAGUUUAUUCCGCGACAACCUUUCGCUGAGUUCAUUUACAAACGAGUCAAGCAGCGAGACCAGACCUGCACACCUAUACCGGUGAAGCGUGCGCCCUACAAGGGAGAAGUCAUCACAUUGAAACCCAGAGAGACAAAAGAAGACGACACAGCUGGGACCAGGAUGCAGGGCCAUUCCUGAUUUGGAUGCUGGGGUUAAGCAAGUGCAAAGGUCAUUGUUCUGAUUUUGAGAUUGUUACGUGAGAUGUGAAUGCUUGGCCAUCACGGCGAAGGGCAAGUGUAACUUGAUACCAUUUUCUCAACUCUUUAUAACCCUGCCAACUUUCAAAAUAAAAAAAUUUAAAAAAUG
rnacentral:lncRNA from 1 species